rnacentral:rRNA from 1 species
AAAACAACCCUACGGGAGGCAGCAGUCGAGAAUUUUUCACAAUGGGGGAAACCCUGAUGGAGCGACGCCGCGUGGAGGAUGAAGGCCUUCGGGUUGUAAACUCCUGUCAUGCGGGAACAAGAAAGUGAUAGUACCGCAAGAGGAAGAGACGGCUAACUCUGUGCCAGCAGCCGCGGUAAUACAGAGGUCUCAAGCGUUGUUCGGAUUCAUUGGGCGUAAAGGGUGCGUAGGUGGCGAUGUAAGUCUAACGUGAAAUCUCGGGGCUCAACCCCGAAAUUGCGUCGGAUACUGCGUUGCUAGAGGAUUGUAGAGGAGAGUGGAAUUCACGGUGUAGCGGUGA